GUCUCUUUUACAGCAAAGUUGGCAGGGCUACUACCAGCUUUGAAGUCCUCCAAAGAUUUUUGCGGGGUGUUACUCCCAUUUUUCAUCUGAAACAAUGAGGGUCUGGUCCGUGCUUAUCAUCUUCUCACUUUUAAGAGGAAGCACAGGACAGUCAGUGAAGCAAACAGCCGGCAUUGUGACUGUUACUGAAGGACAAACUGUCUUUCUCAAUUGCUCCUAUAAAGCACAGUUUGCUGGUACACAUUACCCAUUCUGGUAUGUUCAGCCUCCUGGUCAGCCUCUGAAGCUCUUUUUGACAGAGUAUAACCAUGUCCAAGGCUUCCAGACUACUCACACUCCCCAUGGGAACAAGAAAGAAGGGACUUUCAACAUGCAGAAACAAGCCGUCCAGUUGAACGACUCUGCUGUCUACUUCUGUGCCUUCAGAGACACAGUGAGACAAAGGAAGUGAGAAGUGAGUCAAAAACUCAUCUCCUCUAAAACUUGCAGAGGGGGAAUAAAAUGUACAGGGCAGAGACAGGAGAAUUUAUAAACUCUGGCAAGGAUUUAGGGUAAGGAAUGUAAUUUUAAUGCCCAUGUUGGUCAUGCUAACUAUGGUACUGUCCCUCGUUAGAAGAGUUUCCACCUACUUCCUUGUUCAUCUUCAGGCUAAUUUGUUGGCAGAAAUGCAUGUCCAUACAUGCACAAAAUGCUUGCAUAUAUUGAUUCCAUAUAUUCUUGUGGUUCUGUUUUAAUUAGUCCUUUCAGAAUACUUUUGGUCAAAUAAAUAAAAAUAAAUAAAUAAAUAAAUAAAUAAAUAA